GCGCCUGUAGCUCAGUUGGAUAGAGCUACGGACUUCUAAUCCGU
rnacentral:tRNA from 1 species